UAGCGAUUAAAGUAAUGUAACUAAUGUUACCUGUGUUUCCUGAACAACAGAAUUGUCAUGAAGGCUGCAGCACAUCUGGAAUGGAUCUAAAAUGCCGGUGUCUCCAAAUCCCCAUCACAUCAGUGGAAACGUGCACACCAGACUACUUCAAACAGGGACUUGCGUCACUGAGUAGUGUGCAUCCUGUUGCAUGCUUACUGAUUAGAAGAUUGAAGUUAUGGUCCAAGCCGGGCUUUCAGCAGCUGGCCCCUCACUGUGAACCAGUGGUGUCUCCACGGGUGUUUCUGGAGCAGCUGAGACAAGUGUUCCAAGGACUGAACAGCAUCAAACCAUAACAAAAUGAUUUAAAUAUUCUAUAUUUAUAA